UUCUUUUAUUUUAUUUUAGAAUAAGGUUUUUUAAACCUUAUUAAACUCCAUCUAUUUGAUAUUAUUAGAAUAAGGAGUUUCACUCCUAUUAGAAUAAGGUUUACAAGCCUAUAAAUAGGCAUAGUCUACUCCUCUUGUAAUUAAUUCGAAUUCGACAUAGUGAAUUUUCUUCUCCUUUGCCCGUGGUUUUUUCCCGAAAGGGUUUCCACGUAAAAUCUGUGUGUUAUUUAUUUUUC
rnacentral:lncRNA from 1 species